GUGCAAAGAGAGCUGACAAAUUCAACCACAGAUUUUUACUGAAUGCCUACCCUAUCAGUUGGGAAGGGUGAUGACAACCCAUGACAUAAAGCACAAAAGUGUAUUUCUUACUCGUGCUUUAUAUCCAUUGUGAGUAGACUGAGGCUCUACCUGGCAGUGUCCUCACUCUGGGAUAGGCUGACAGAGCAGCCCCCAUUUGGAGCAAGCAGUCACUGAAGCAGAGCUAGCUUGACCACAUAUUAUCCCCUCCACCCAUGCCGUUUCGGAAAUGCAGCAACCCAGAUGUGGCUUCUGGCCCUGGAAAAUCACUGAAGUAUAAAAGACAGCUGAGUGAGGAUGGAAGACAGCUAAGGCGAGGGAGCCUGGGAGGAGCCCUGACUGAUUUUACAACAGCCCUACAAGUUUGGCCCUGUUCUACUCAGGAACUUGAGGGAGGUACCUUCUUCCAAACCCGGUGGCGGGACAGG
rnacentral:lncRNA from 10 species